rnacentral:rRNA from 1 species
UACGGAGGGGGCUAGCGUUGUUCGGAAUUACUGGGCGUAAAGCGCACGUAGGCGGCUUUGUAAGUUAGAGGUGAAAGCCCGGAGCUCAACUCCGGAAUUGCCUUUAAGACUGCAUCGCUAGAAUUGUGGAGAGGUGAGUGGAAUUCCGAGUGUAGAGGUGAAAUUCGUAGAUAUUCGGAAGAACACCAGUGGCGAAGGCGACUCACUGGACACAUAUUGACGCUGAGAUGCGAAAGCGUGGGGAGCAAACAGG